rnacentral:rRNA from 1 species
UAAAGCAAAGAAGAGCGCAGAGUGAAUGCCUUGGCAUUGGGAGCCGAUGAAGGACGUGGUUAACUGCGAUAAGCUGCGGGGAGCUGUAAGCAAGCUUUGAUCCGCAGAUUUCCGAAUGGAGCAAUCCACAUGAAGUAGUUCAUGUAUCCAUACGUGAAUUCAUAGCGUAUGGAGGGGAACCGCCUGAACUGAAACAUCUAAGUAGGGCGAGGAAGAGAAAUCAACCGAGAUUCCGUAAGUAGUGGCGAGCGAACGCGGAAGAGGCCAAACCGAGAGAAGAAAUUCUUUCGGGGUUCGGACUGCAUUUAGUAUUCUUGAUCUUUAGUCGAACAGUCUGGGAAGGCUGACGAGAGAGUGUGAUAGUCACGUAGACGAAAAGGAGAAAGAGCGAGCAGUAUCCAGAGUACCGCGGGGCACGUGAAAUCCCGUGGGAAGAUGGGGGGACCACCCUCCAAGCCUAAAUACUACCCAAUGACCGAUAGCGUAAAGUACUGUGAAGGAACGGUGAAAAGAACCCCGGGAGGGGAGUGAAAAGAACCUGAAACUCUGUGCUUACAAGCACAUAGAGCACGUCAAUGUGUGAUAUGGUACCUUUUGUAGAAUGGUCCGGCGAGUUAUGGUAUGCAGCGUGGUUAAGGACUUCAGGUCUGAAGCCGAAGCGAGAGCGAGUCUGACAAGGGCGAAAAGUUGUAUGCCAUAGACCCGAAACCGGGUGACCUAGCCAUGUCCAGGCUGAAGUGGAGGUAAAACUCCAUGGAGGGCCGAACCGACCUCCGUUGAAAAGGCGGCGGAUGAGAUGUGGCUAGCGGAGAAAUUCCAAUCGAACCCGGAUAUAGCUGGUUCUCCCCGAAAUAGCUUUAGGGCUAGCGUUGUAUUAGAUUACCGGAGGUAAAGCACUGAAUGGGCUAGGGGCUGAGAAGUUACUGAACCCUAUCAAACUAAGAAUGCCGGAUAAUUGAUGUACAGCAGUCAGACUAUGUGAGAUAAGUCUCAUAGUCAAAAGGGAAACAGCCCAGACCCACAGCUAAGGUCCCAAAAUGGAUUUAAGUGGAAAAGGAUGUGGAAUUGCACAGACAACCAGGAUGUUGGCUUAGAAGCAGCCACUCAUUUAAAGAGUGCGUAAUAGCUCACUGGUCGAGUGAUUCUGCGCCGAAAAUUUCCGGGGCUAAAACUUACUACCGAAGCUACGGCAUCAUUAUGAUGGGUAGGGGAGCUUUCUAUACGGGUUGAAGCAUGACCGUAAGGACAUGUGGACUGUAUAGAAGUGAGAAUGUUGGCAUGAGUAGCGAGAUGUGGGUGAGAAUCCCACAGGCCGUAAACCCAAGGUUUCCAGGGGAAGGUUCGUCCGCCCUGGGUUAGUCAGGACCUAAGCCGAGGCCGAAAGGCGUAGGUGAUGGACAACAGGUUGAUAUUCCUGUACCACCAAUAACCGUUUGAGAAAUGGGAUGACACAGUAGGAUAAGCUAACCGCACUGUUGGUUAUGUGCGGGCAAGUAUUGAGGCAGUUCCGAUAGGCAAAUCCGUCGGAAUAAUGCUGGGGUACGAUGCGGAGCGAAAUUUAGUAGCGAAGUAGCUGAUUUCACACUGUCGAGAAAAGUCUCUAUCGAGGUUAAAGGUGCCUGUACCGCAAACCGACACAGGUGGGUGAGGAGAGUAUCCUAAGGCCAGCGAGAGAACUGUUGUUAAGGAACUCGGCAAAAUGACCCCGUAACUUAGGGAGAAGGGGUGCCUUCGAAAGAAGGCCGCAGAGAAUAGGCCCAAGCGACUGUUUACCAAAAACAUAGGUUUCUGCUAAGUCGCAAGACGAUGUAUAGGAGCUGACGCCUGCCCGGUGCUGGAAGGUUAAGGGGAUCUGUUAGAGCAAUCGAAGCAGUGAACUUAAGCCCCAGUAAACGGCGGCCGUAACUAUAACGGUCCUAAGGUAGCGAAAUUCCUUGUCGGGUAAGUUCCGACCCGCACGAAAGGCGUAAUGAUUUGAGCACUGUCUCGACAAUGCAUCCGGUGAAAUUGAAGUACCAGUGAAGAUGCUGGUUACCUGCGCCAGGACGGAAAGACCCCAUGGAGCUUUACUCCAGUUUGAUACUGGGAUUCGGUACUGCACGUACAGGAUAGGUGGGAGACUUUGAACUAUGGACGCCAGUCUGUAGGGAGUCGCUGUUGGGAUACCACCCCUGUAGUACUGGGUUUCUAACCAUCUGCCGUGACCCGGCAGUGGGACAAUGUCAGGCGGGGAGUUUGACUGGGGCGGUCGCCUCCGAAAGGGUAUCGGAGGCGCUCAAAGGUUCCCUCAGAAUGGUUGGAAACCAUUCGAAGAGUGCAAAGGCAGAAGGGAGCUUGACUGCGACACCGACGGGUGGAGCAGGUACGAAAGUAGGACUUAGUGAUCCGGUGGUAUAAAGUGGGAUUGCCAUCGCUCAACGGAUAAAAGCUACCCUGGGGAUAACAGGCUUAUCACUCCCAAGAGUUCACAUCGACGGAGUGGUUUGGCACCUCGAUGUCGGCUCAUCGCAUCCUGGGGCUGUAGUAGGUCCCAAGGGUUGGGCUGUUCGCCCAUUAAAGCGGUACGCGAGCUGGGUUCAGA